rnacentral:lncRNA from 1 species
UAGAUGAGUAUCUGCGAGAUUGUGGUAGUUGGUUAUGAACACAACUCUAUCAUAUAAGAUAUUUGAGUAUUUGUGAGAUUGUGGCAGUUGGUUAUGAACACAACUCUAUCAUAUAAGAUAUUUGAGUAUCUGUGAGAUCGUGAUAGUGGGUUCUGAACACAACUCUUUUACGAAAAGAGUUGUAGAAAAACAAAAAGACUGAAACAUAUAAAAACUCAUUCUACGAAUU